GAUGGGGCGGGACAGACUCGGUCAGAGCUCGGGAACAGCUCCAGAGCCACUCGUGCCCAGAGUGGAUUCACUGUCACACAUUCCCUGCAAGAACGUUUGUGAGAGGAAAAGCAAAGUGCAAGCCUGAGUUGUUCUCUCUGAGGUCAAGAAUUAGGAAAAAUCUUCCUGGCACACAAAUCCAGAACUCUUGGAGGUCCAAAGGAGCUGCUCCUGCCUCCUUGUUCACACCAGAGAGGGGCUUGGAGUCUGUCCAGUGCUUCCAUGAACUCCAGUUCCAUCCUGCUGCUGCCCACAGAUAUGGUAGAAGAAUUUUAUUAUAUUCAAGGUGAUCUGGAAGAAUAGACAGGAAAGAAAAAUUAUCUAUGGCUGUAUAUCCAGUUGUUCCUUCUUGUUAAUGCAACUGCAAGAACCAUAAAGCAUAUGGUA
rnacentral:lncRNA from 1 species